rnacentral:lncRNA from 1 species
UAUUUCGAAGGAAAAUUUUGUUGUCAAAUUUCGGUUUUAAACAAUAAAUUCGAUCGAAUUUAAAUAUAAACAUUAGAAGUUUAGCGGAAAAUUAAUUAGUUAAGGUAAAGAGUUUGUUGUAAAUUAUAUUAAAUGGAAGAAACAGAUGUGUAAAUACAGAUGUUAUCCGCGCUUCAGAAUGAUCGAAUUUAAGCUUUGUAAAUCAAUUAAACUGUUCCCUUUUAGCAUACGUUUAAUAAUGAAUCAGUACAUAAACAUACCAAAACAAGAAUUUCUCAAGAGUUUUUUUCCUCCCCUCACAUACAGCAGUGUGUUUGUCUUGAUCUCAGGUAAACUCGGACGAAUUUCUGGCGAUGCUGAUCAAUAAUAUAAUACCGAAUUCUUGCUGCCUAAAGAAGUAAUAAUGCAUAUGUAGAGUCAGAAUAUUCUCCAUACGGAGUUAUUAUGUAAUAUUUGUUCUUCUGUGGAGUAUACAGUAUUGGCUGCACGCCAGCAGUAGUAGUUUUGGUGAAGGGCAACCUCUGCCAGUUCAAUCGAAUGGAAAUAGUCGCCCAGUUGCUUUUCGCAUGAACAACACUCUAAAACUAACAUUAUUGAGCUGACCAUCUGUUGUCCUGUUCCGCAUCGAUUCUGAUACUUUUGCCAUUUUUAAACAAAAUUACUCCUCCACGUAUAAUCACGAAAUAAUACUCUAAAUAACACAUCACGCUCAUAUUGUUCGCAACAUCAGCAUCGUAGGAAGCCAUCGAGAGCGAACAAAUAAUAUUUUUCAAACAUGAUUUUGUUCAAAAAAAAAGAAAGAAAGAAAACAGAAAAAUUGAUUUUUUUCCCAGCUAAGUUUUCAUCCAAAAUUAUUCUUUAACAAAAGGAAAAAAAAAGGAAGAAAGAUAAGUUUACAUUAUUACCGAAACAUUUUUCAUAUUGCCAUUUUUUUUUUGUUUUUUAGAAAGUUUGGUUUGGACAGGUUUACUCAUUUCUG